ensembl:Y_RNA Y_RNA Y RNA
GGCUGGUCCAAAGGUAGUGAGUUAUCUCAAUUGAUUGCUCACAGUCAGUUACAGAUCGAACUCGUUGUUCUAUUUGUUCCCCUCUUCUCACUGCUGCACUUAACUAGGCCUUUU